AUUGAACGCUGGCGGCAGGCCUAACACAUGCAAGUCGAGCGGAUGAAGGGAGCUUGCUCCUGGAUUCAGCGGCGGACGGGUGAGUAAUGCCUAGGAAUCUGCCUGGUAGUGGGGGAUAACGUCCGGAAACGGGCGCUAAUACCGCAUACGUCCUGAGGGAGAAAGUGGGGGAUCUUCGGACCUCACGCUAUCAGAUGAGCCUAGGUCGGAUUAGCUAGUUGGUGGGGUAAAGGCCUACCAAGGCGACGAUCCGUAACUGGUCUGAGAGGAUGAUCAGUCACACUGGAACUGAGACACGGUCCAGACGCCUACGGGAGGCAGAAGUGGGGAAUAUUGGACAAUGGGCGAAAGCCUGAUCCAGCCAUGCCGCGUGUGUGAAGAAGGUCUUCGGAUUGUAAAGCACUUUAAGUUGGGAGGAAGGGCAGUAAGUUAAUACCUUGCUGUUUUGACGUUACCAACAGAAUAAGCACCGGCUAACUUCGUG
rnacentral:rRNA from 1 species